rnacentral:rRNA from 1 species
CCUACGGGAGGCAGCAGUGGGGAAUAUUGCACAAUGGGGGAAACCCUGAUGCAGCGACGCCGCGUGAGUGAAGAAGUAUUUAGGUAUGUAAAGCUCUAUCAGCAGGGAAGAAGAAAGACGGUACCUGACCAAGAAGCCACGGCUAACUACGUGCCAGCAGCCGCGGUAAUACGUAGGGGGCACGUGUUAUCCGGAUUUACUGGGUGGAAAGGGAGCGUAGACGGCAGUGCAAGUCUGAGGUGAAAGCCCAGGGCUUAACCCUGGGACUGCUUUGGAAACUGUGGAGCUAGAGUGCUGGAGAGGUAAGUGGAAUGCCUGGUGUAGCGGUGAAAUGCGUAGAUAUUAGGAAGAACACCAGUUGCGAAGGCAGCUUACUGGACAGUAACUGACGUUGAGGCUCGAAAGCGUGGGGAGCAAACAGGAUUAGAUACCCUUGUAGUC